ACCGGCGAACGGGUGAGUAACACGUGAGAACCUACCCCGGAGAUGGGAAUAACCACGGGAAACUGUGGCUAAUGCCCAAUAUUACCGCAUGGCGAAAAGUCCGCUGCUCCGGGAUGGUCUCGCGGCGUAUCAGCUUGUUGGUGAGGUAAUGGCUCACCAAGGCAACGACGCGUAGCUGGAGUGAGAGCUCGAACAGCCACACUGGGACUGAGACACGGCCCAGACUCCUACGGGAGGCAGCAGUGGGGAAUCUUGCGCAAUGGGCGAAAGCCUGACGCAGCGACGCCGCGUGUGGGAAGAAGGCCUUCGGGUUGUAAACCACUUUCAGGAGGGAAGAAGCGAAAGUGACGGUACCUCCAGAAGAAGGUCCGGCCAACUACGUGCCAGCAGCCGCGGUAAUACGUAGGGACCGAGCGUUGUCCGGAAUUAUUGGGCGUAAAGAGCUCGUAGGCGGUUCUUUAAGUCGGAUGUGAAAUCUCAGGGCUUAACCCUGAAACCGCACCCGAUACUGGAGAACUUGAGGCAGGUAGGGGAGAUCGGAAUUCCUGGUGUAGCGGUGAAUGCGCAGAUAUCACGAGGAACACCGGUGGCGAACGCGAUCUCUGGGCCUGUUCUGACGCUGAGAGCGGAAGCGUGGGGAGCAAACAGGAUUAGAUACCCUUGCAGUCCACGCCGA
rnacentral:rRNA from 1 species